rnacentral:rRNA from 1 species
UACGUAGGGACCAAGCGUUGUUCGGAUUUACUGGGCGUAAAGGGCUCGUAGGCGGCCAACUAAGUCAGACGUGAAAUCCCUCAGCUUAACUGGGGAACUGCGUCUGAUACUGGAUGGCUUGGAUUCGGGAGAGGAAUGCGGAAUUCCAGGUGUAGCGGUGAAAUGCGUAGAUAUCUGGAGGAACACCGGUGGCGAAGGCGGCAGUCCUGGACCGACGAUUGACGCUGAGGAGCGAAAGCUAGGGGAGCAAACGGGG